rnacentral:rRNA from 1 species
GUGCUAGCGUUGUUCGGAAUGACUGGGCGUAAAGGGUGCGUAGGCGGCCAGAAACGUCUGAUGUGAAAUCCCUGGGCUUAACCUAGGAACUGCAUUGGAUACUGUCUGGCUAGAGUCCGNGAGAGGAAGAUGGAAUUGUGCGUGUAGAGGUGAAAUUCGUAGAUAUGCACAAGAACACCGGUGGCGAAGGCGAUCUUCUGGANCGGUACUGACGCUAAGGCACGAAAGUGUGGGGAGCAAACAGGAUUAGAUACCCUGGUAGUCCACACUGUAAACGAUGAAUAUUAGAUGUCGGGGGGGUUACCCUUCGGUAUCGCAGCUAACGCAUUAAAUAUUCCGCCUGGGGAGUACGGUCGCAAGAUUAAAACUCAAAGGAAUUGACGGGGACCCGCACAAGCGG